UACGAGGGGGGCGAGCGUUGUUCGGAAUUAUUGGGCGUAAAGGGUGCGUAGGCGGUUCCGCAAGUCCUGUGUGAAAUCUUCGGGCUCAACUCGAAGUCUGCACGGGAAACUGCGGGGCUUGAGUGUGGGAGAGGGAGGUAGAAUUCCACGUGUAGCGGUGAAAUGCGUAGAUAUGUGGAGGAAUACCGAUGGCGAAGGCAGCCUCCUGGGCCAACACUGACGCUCAUGCACGAAAGCGUGGGGAGCAAACAGG
rnacentral:rRNA from 1 species